rnacentral:rRNA from 1 species
GGCCUAACACAUGCAAGUCGAGCGGUAGAGAGAAGCUUGCUUCUCUUGAGAGCGGCGGACGGGUGAGUAAUGCCUAGGAAUCUGCCUGGUAGUGGGGGAUAACGCUCGGAAACGGACGCUAAUACCGCAUACGUCCUACGGGAGAAAGCAGGGGACCUUCGGGCCUUGCGCUAUCAGAUGAGCCUAGGUCGGAUUAGCUAGUUGGUGAGGUAAUGGCUCACCAAGGCGACGAUCCGUAACUGGUCUGAGAGGAUGAUCAGUCACACUGGAACUGAGACACGGUCCAGACUCCUACGGGAGGCAGCAGUGGGGAAUAUUGCACAAUGGGGGAAACCCUGAUGCAGCCAUGCCGCGUGUGUGAAGAAGGCCUUCGGGUUGUAAAGCACUUUCAGCGAGGAGGAAAGGUUGAUGCCUAAUACGCAUCAGCUGUGACGUUACUCGCAGAAGAAG